rnacentral:lncRNA from 1 species
CCAAGAUGGCUGAAUAGGAAGAGCUCCAGGCCACAGCUCCCAGUGUGAGCAAUGCAGAAGACAGGUGAAUUCUGCAUUUCCAACUGAGGUACCAGGUUCAUCUCACUGGGGCUUGUUGGACAGUGUAAUCAAAGGAGAGAGGAUUGAAACAUGGGGACAUAAUUUUGCACUAUCAUGAGGUACAAAUAUUUAACACUAUUAAAACAGCGCUGAAGAGAAUGGGGAAAAAAGAGGCACAGUUAUAUGCUGUUGGGCUAACUUCUGCAGGAAGCAACUCAGCAAUACACAUGUGAAGCUUAAAAACAUGCAGAACUUCUGAAUCCGUAUUUCUACACUCAGGAAUCUGUUCUUCCCCGGUAAUAAUGCAAAACACAAACAAAAUAAAUGUAUACCAUAUUCAUCAAACCAGCAUUUAUCAUUGAAAGAAAUAAGAAAAAAAGCAAUACCUAACAAUAAAAAAGUAGAGAAAAAUGACUAUUGACUGUGUAAUGGAAUAUGAUGCAACCAUUAAACGAUGGCGGUCAUUAGGUUAUGCAGAGCGAGGUCAAGUGGCCAAGUGGCAUGAGCAUCACCACUCCUGCAGCAGCCUGGGCAGCUUCCACUGGGCAGAACAGACCCAGGAUGACAGGCCCGUAGUAUAGGACUCCAUUGUCCAUCACACCCCACCCCGCUAGGUAGCAGCAGUCCAGCCAGUGCAGAUGUUUGUUGCCUGGAGAGAGUCUGAUGCCUGAACUGCAACCUUCAAACUGCGAGACUGGGGAGUGUCACUGGGGUGUCUUCAGGACCUUGGAUAACUCCAGUGAGGCCGUAAGAUUAGAGAUGGCACCAGGAGACAGUGGGAGAUGGUUGUCCACCU